CUUUUCGGCCACCGUAGCGAAGAAGAGGGGCUAAGUCUUGAGCUUCCGGCAAGUCUCCGGCAACCUGAAUACCAUCCCUGGCAGUGGGUUGAACACCGGAAUAGAGGCCGAAGUUCCGUGCUGCUUCGGCGCCACGACCUGGUGUGACUGCUGAGUUCUGGGGACUACUCAGGGCCCCGAAGUCCGUGGCGGUGAAUCGACGGAGCCCUCCUUAUUGCAGUCCAGGGUUCCCAAGACCCAAGCCUUGGUGAUCCAGGGGCGAGCGCCCUUCCUAGGACAUUGCUUUGUACACGCCACCGCCAGUCUAUCGGGGAGCAUUUCCACAGAGCCCAUGAGAAUGCAGCGAAACUUUUGCUUAAGAAAAUAACCACGCCGACCCCAGGGAUUCUCUCACUCAGAGGUAAGAGCAUUAAAAAAGAAAGGAGGUACAGAGGGUGUGUAACAAUGGAAGAUUGCAUGGAAAGUUCUCCUUUGCUGUUAGUACAUCUUAGGAAAACAUUCAGCUGGAACAUAACCAGGCUCAUAGGACUCAGCUUACUUCCCUUUUCUCUGAAGAUGCCAGAAGCUACUUUCUUUCCAGAGACUUUUCUUCCUCCAAGACAGACUGUGAGAUGGGAUUCUUCUCACCUACUCUCUCGAGUAUGUCGCUGAAAUGAAGUCCAUAGUGCUUCUUAUUUUAAGCAUUUGCAUUUGCCUUUGUGGAGAGUAGAUGGGGGAAUGACAGAGGACAGAAGUAGCAAAUAGGGAGACACGUGAUCAAUUUUACAGUGUUCUAAUAUUCUCCUUCCUUCACCUGUGUUUUCUGGGUCCUUUCCUGCUCUGUGAUCUGCUUCUUUUAUCUCAGCACAGAGCUCAAGGAGCACCACUUCUCCAGUUCCUCACCAUUCAGGGGCCCUCUGGCUGUAGGAUGGUCAUUCACAUCCCAGGGGCUCCAGCCUAGGUGCUUCACAUUUAAACAUCUGUGUUCCAGGUGGAAAUCUCUACUACUUUUGAGCAACUUAUUUAAUCCCCAUAAUUAUUCUUCACGGUACCUCAUCAUUUUGGAAACAGAUUUAGGGAGGUUAAGUGGUUUGGUCACAGUUAUAGAGUUAGUAAAAUCAGGGCUAGGAGUGGACCACAGGUCUAUUUGUCUCCAAAAUGUAAGUUUCUUCCACUCUUCCAAACUGCAUUACCUCAACACUGGGUGAUUUCCUGGCAAUCAUGGACUAUCACAUGAAAGCACAUGAAGGCAUUCCUGUUGUUAUGUUCAUCUUCGUGUUUGUAUCUUUUAUCAUCUUUAAUUUAAUAUUUAGGAGUAUUGUCUCCAUAUUCUUUAUACAGCUAACUGAAGACAGAAACAUUGUUUUAUGUGUCACUGUAUUAGCCAAUGCACCUUUACUAAGGGUUUAAUGCAUAGCAUGUGUCUACCAUAUAUUUAUUGGUUAGUUGUUCC